rnacentral:rRNA from 1 species
UACGGAGGGUGCAAGCGUUAUCCGGAUUCACUGGGUUUAAAGGGUGCGUAGGAGGGCAGGUAAGUCAGUGGUGAAAUCCCCAAGCUUAACUUGGGAACUGCCAUUGAUACUAUCUGUCUUGAAUACCGUGGAGAUGAGCGGAAUAUGUCAUGUAGCGGUGAAAUGCUUAGAUAUGACAUAGAACACCAAUUGCGAAGGCAGCUCGUUACACGAAUAUUGACUCUGAGGCACGAAAGCGUGGGGAGCAAACAGG